GUGCACUGGCGGGCCCUCCCCUCGGGCGUUGCCUCCCACCCACGCCCGGCGGCACCGCACCCCGAGGCGCUUCACGUCACGGAGCUGCUAGGAGACGGGCGGGGCUCCGGUUCCGGGUAGAGGCCUGGGACACGGGGAACUACGGAAUCUCACUCUGUCACCCAGGCUGGAGUGCAGUGGCACAAUCUCAGCUCACUGCAACCUCGACCUCCCAGGUACAAGCAAUUCUCCUGCCUCAGCCUCCCAAGUAGCUGGGAUUACAGAUGGAGUUUUGCUCUUGUCGCCCCGGCUGGAGUGCAGUGGUGCGACCUCAGCGAUCUCAGCGAUCUCAGCGAUCUCAGCUCACUACAACCUCUGCCUCUUGGAUUCAAGCAGUUCUCCUGCCUCAACCACCUGAGUAGCUGGGAUUACAGGCGCCUGCCACCACGCCUGGCUAAUUUUUGUAUUUUUAGUAGAGAUGGGGUUUCACCAGGUUGGUCAGUCUGGUCUCGAACUCCUGACCUCAGGUGAUCCACCCACCUCGGCCUCCCAAAGUGCUGGGAUUACAGGCGUGAGCCACCAUGCCCAGCCUACACUUGGGCUUCUUAGGCACAAGAUCCAGUAAGCCCUCCCUCCUCCUCCCCACCCCUUUUUUCUUUACACUAGUGUUUUCUGUAAUCCUGCAACAGAAAGAGUCCUAACUGAUAUAUUUGUGACCAUUUCUAAAAUCUCCAAAAUGUAAAAUUAUACAAUUAAGAAUUAAAAUAAUUUUUUAAAACCAA
rnacentral:lncRNA from 1 species